AUGCUUGGGAAGAACAUAUACUAAAAAAAGAAUGAUACAGACAAAAUUAUCAUGGUCCCUGCACAAGGAUGGCACACAAAUUUGUGAAGCAUUCCAUAUUUUU
ensembl:snRNA U6 U6 spliceosomal RNA